AAAUUUCUAUUGGGAAAAAAACAUCCAGUAAAAAUUUCCAAGCUCUCAUUUACCAAACUUUUAAAAAAUGUGCUUGCUUUCACGCACUCUACCGCUCUCUUUUGCUGGCAAAUAAAGUACGCGAACGACUUCCAGUAACAAUUUGUGCAAAUUUGCACACGAACACACUUAUUGUAACCCCAUACAUUUGUAUGUGAAGUUAGCGAUCCUCGUCGUUCCGACCUAUAGGACCGGCUGCUGCGUUGGUGUUGUAGCCACAUUUGCUGAAUCUGGCUGCUUCAGUUGAAGCGGUCUAUAGUAAUUCUGCAGUCAGAUGAGUUUUCACCGGGCAUAUAAAUAGGUGAUUGGUGUCAUGGGGUCCCGUGUUGCAUGCAGGGCAAAUAUAGGUGAUGGUUCGUCUAACAUCGAGCGAAGGCAUAUCCGUUUGCUACAACAUCCGUAAGUGGAUCGGUGAUGUGCUGUCAGAUGGCGUCUGAAAAUUGGUGAACACAUAACUAAAAAGCCCUCAAACAUGUCAAGAUAUCUGUACUGAAUAAAACGGCUAGCUAAUGUGAAGAACAACAAGAUUUAUAGGAAA
rnacentral:sRNA from 1 species